rnacentral:lncRNA from 1 species
CAGGAAAGAAACAAUCACAAGGGUUCGGGCACAUCCAAAUCUCCUCAGCGGUUAAACCGAUCCCAAACCACUUCAGGGAAACCACCAGCAAGCACUGGUUUGGGGAACUUUAGAUGCUCGUUACGCCAAGCACUCUUAGAGCAAGCAAAUCCGCAACCGCCUUUCUCUGCAUAGAUGCUUAGGGUCUGGGAGGCGAGCGAGCUGGAGACAAAAUUAACCUGAUCGCUCGGUGAGGCUUGAAGGUGGCCCCCACGUGUCCCACGUACCGCUUCGACACCCUGAGAGCGAGGUAAUCAGAAAACUGCAGGUGUGGGGUCCAGAUUUGGGGCGCUCCCAUCGCCUCCCGCACUCGUCGUAAGCCGGGGGCAAUCCUCCGACAGGAGGACUUUUGAAGGAUUGCGGAGCUCACUUUCCUGCGGGUCCGGGACCUCGCAGUCCUCGAGUGGAGCGGGGAAAGCAAGGGGGGCGACCCAAGUAGAGUCGGAGCCGGAGUCCGCAGACCUUGCCUCCCCGCCCAAACUGGGUGCCUCCGGCCCGGGACAGCGGGGCCCCCGGGGCCCGAGAGCCCCACGCGCAGCGACCGCAGGGCCCGGCGCUGACGGGCGGAGGAAGCGAGUGCGGCGGGGCUGCUGCUGGGACCGUGCCCCCGAGAACCCUGGGGCGCGCAGCUGAGGGGGCGAAGAGGGGCGAGGGAGGCCCCAAGCCGGGGUGAGGUGGCUGCCCCCCCCCCCAGCCCGGCCCCACACGGCCCCCUGAGGAGGGUGGGAGUGGGAGGCUGGCUGUCCGGGAGGGGGAGUGUGGAAGCAGAAGAGAGCUAAGGAAAGGACUUACUUUCCCCGCGGGAUCCGACGCCGGAACAGCUUCUCCCGGGUGGCGAGAGCUUGAAGAACUAGAGGCGACUGGAGCGGAGGCGGCGGUGGCGGCGGCAGCAGCGGCGUCCGGCUCUGCCUCCCUCCCCGCCGCCAUCUUGACGCCCCUCCCCCCGGCCCCCCCGCCCCGCCAGAGGGGAGGGGGUGGGGCGACGGAUGAGGCGCCGCGCGCACGCAGCGCGCGCCGCGCGCCCCACGUGACUUCCUCCCUUCCCCCCCCCACCCGCUCCCCAGCGCCCCCCUCCGCCCCGCCUCCCUCCUAGGUGAAGGAAGAUGAUUUCCCCCCCCCAUCUUGACCGCCCCCUGCCUUCGCUGCCAAGCACGGACUCCGCCGGCCCCAGCCGACCCGGUACCAGUGGUUGGAUCCAAGAGAAUUCCGGAACCCAAACGGUCCUUUACCGCGUCUCCGGGGUGGGCGAGGGGUGAGGGGGCCGGGUUUCCGAGAAGGGGGAGGGGGGAAGGCGAAGGCCUCUUGGAAGAGUCACGUGUCUACUGCUUCCGCCGGCGCUCAAACACCUCGCGAGAAUUCCGUUCCCCCUCCCUUUCUGCCCCGCGGGCCGUCGGGAGGAAGGUCCGCACUCUGGUUUUGCCACGAGGAGGUCAGCCGGUGGGCCGGGCGCAUGCGUCCCACACCUGCUUUCAAAAGUCGGGCUAGGAGGGGCCCGAAGCUAUUUUCAAAACCUUUUGGUGUGUGGCUUCGGCCCAGGAAGUUACCUAGUGGCGUCUCUAUCAGUUUGGAAAGCUCUUCAUUACCCAGUCAAUCCGAGAAAAAAAUAUUCGCUUAUUCUUUGCUUGUUAGGCUCGCUCAAAGCACUUUAUUCAAUAUGAAACCGCAGUAUAACUCGGAGACCUUCGGCUGGUCCACUGUCAUUAUCAUACCCUAAGGAGUGUGAGCAGAGUCAGCCCCAUUUCUUUUUUC